CACACACACACACACACACACACACACGCCCACACACACAGGGGCAGGUGGGUUACUGCAGCCAUGACCGUCUGUCUCACCUGAGACAUGGCAACUUGUUGCCUGUUGUUCCUUUUGAAGACUCUUUCCAGCUAACGGAUGGAUUACACCGCUGGAACGGUGCUGGUGACUCAUGUUGGGGAAGGAGGAUGAAGGAAAAUCAAACCAGAUGUUAAAGUUUUAGUGAACAGAGAGACAAAGAGGAUUGUUUUUCACCUGGACGCCCCAUUUACUUCUAUUUAGGGCUGAGACUUUAAUGCGUUCUUUUCAACUACGUACAUAGGUUUAUACAUGUCGAACAUUUUAACGCAAUUAAUCUGAUUGUCUUUUCUUUUACGUAAAAAUCCAGAGCCAGAACCUUUGUAUUUGCGUGUUUCUGAUACGCCCGUAAAUCUGAUGCACAGACAAAAGUGAUGGAAGACAAAGCCGCUUUUCUUAGCCCACAGGAGGCUCAUUUUUACUUCAAAAACAUGAUCUGAUUGUACGUUGGAAAAGGCUCCUGUUAUGUUCAAGUCGUGCUAAAAGCAGUUAGCUUAUACCUGAAGCUAUUCAGCUCUAAAAUAGCAUCUCAAUGCUAACCACGUAGCAUUGAGAUGUCCCUAACGCUAACCUGGCACACGUGGCUAAUGUUGCUAACGUCACUAAGCAACUAACGCUUUGAAGAAACACGGUCACUGUUGACAAGGUUUCUGAAACACUAUGAACUAAGAGAGCGAUGCAGAUGGCAAAGUCUUCCAUUUUUUGUUUUUAUUAUGUUGUUCCUUUAUUAUUUAUAUUUGUUUACCUUGUGGAAUAAGUCGUCAAAUGUAUCACUUGUUUUGGGUUAGAAAAAUUCAAUAAAUAUAAUGUUUACCAAAAAAAAAAGAAUCUACCGUUGCUAAAGUUGCUGACAGUCCACAUUUCUAAAGUAGUUUUUGGAUGACCCAAACAGCAGAUGUAAAGCCAUAUAAACAUGUCUAUUUAUUCAAUAAUUAUGCAGCAAAAAAGGCUUUUAAAAUUGUGAACACUGCUUAUUUUGUCGUCAAGGUUUUUUGGAGAAAUGCAUUUAAUUAGCUAUCCUACAAUUAGCUCGAUUAAAAAUUUGAAUCGAGUCCCAACCCUACUUCCGUUAUUAGUUUUGUGUGUGUGUGUUUUAAUCUCUCAGGAAGGAAAAAAAAAACACAACACAACCCCACUACCCUCAUCAUCUGCUCGUUAGCUCACAGGGUCAGGUAUGUAUGUGGACCAGCGAGUCGCUACCGUGUUUCACACACACGCCUCCCCACCGGUUCCUUUUAUUUUGAUCUGGCGCUGCUAUUGUUAUGACAGGAGAAUCCCCUGAAGGGAUUCUUACUGCUCUUCGUCAGUACCUGAAACACUAAAACAAACAAACUGAAGCACAUUGAGGAGGAGGGGGGAGAAAAUAAAAUCUGCGCUAUGUAAGGGGCAAUGAUAGAUAUGCUUGAAUGGAUGAAUAAUGGAUUCCAUAUUUCAUUUCGGAAAAGGAGGGACAGAUGGAGAGAGGGCGAUGGCGAGCGCGAUGGAGACGAUGAUGGCCGGGAAGAGACGGGGAAGUGAGAGGCAGGUGGGCCGGUGGCGAGGACACGAAUACAACCAGGAUGAAGGAAGGACUGUAUCUGUGGGGACAGACACGGUCAGAUUAAAAACUGUUAAGGACCGAAGAGCUAAAACGUGAUGUGGAGGCUCUCGCUACUGCAAGUUGAGCAACGAGGGGGAAAAAAAAUAAUAAAAUCUGCCUCACAGAAUGCAUCAAAAAAAAGACGCCCAGGAAUGAAAUUAUUCCCGAGCAGAAACUUUCAGACGCAGAUUUGGCCGAGCACAGAACGAAUCGACCGGCUUCAAGGACGGACCGCGGAGCCGAACCCGCGGCUCGCGGCUCCAAUUUUGGCUGCUUCAAACACGGACGCCUCUGGUCGCUUUUCAGCUGCCAAUUUAAAUGGCUGCUGCCCGAGGUUUUCAAAGCAAAAGCUCCCUUAAAAAAAAAAAAAAAAA